UCAGGCCUAACACAUGCAAGUCGGACGGCAGCGGGGACUUCGGUCCGCCGGCGAGUGGCGAACGGGUGAGUAAUGCAUCGGAACGUGCCUAUCAGUGGGGGAUAACGCUUCGAAAGGAGUGCUAAUACCGCAUACGACCUACGGGUGAAAGCGGGGGACCGCAAGGCCUCGCGCUAUUGGAGCGGCCGAUGUCAGAUUAGCUAGUUGGUGGGGUAAAGGCCUACCAAGGCGACGAUCUGUAGCUGGUCUGAGAGGACGACCAGCCACACUGGGACUGAGACACGGCCCAGACUCCUACGGGAGGCAGCAGUGGGGAAUUUUGGACAAUGGGGGCAACCCUGAUCCAGCCAUGCCGCGUGCGGGAAGAAGGCCUUCGGGUUGUAAACCGCUUUUGUCGGGGAAGAAACGGUCUGCGCUAAUACCGC
rnacentral:rRNA from 1 species